GGGUUGUGAGGUUAAGCGACUAAGCGUACACGGUGGAUGCCCUGGCAGUCAGAGGCGAUGAAGGACGUGCUAAUCUGCGAAAAGCGUCGGUAAGGUGAUAUGAACCGUUAUAACCGGCGAUGUCCGAAUGGGGAAACCCAGUGUGAUUCGUCACACUAUCGUUAACUGAAUACAUAGGUUAACGAGGCGAACCGGGGGAACUGAAACAUCUAAGUACCCCGAGGAAAAGAAAUCAACCGAGAUUCCCCCAGUAGCGGCGAGCGAACGGGGAGCAGCCCAGAGUCUGAAUCAGCUUGUGUGUUAGUGGAACGGUCUGGAAAGUCCGACGGUACAGGGUGAUAGUCCCGUACACCAAAAUGCACAGGCUGUGAACUCGAAGAGUAGGGCGGGACACGUGGUAUCCUGUCUGAAUAUGGGGGGACCAUCCUCCAAGGCUAAAUACUCCUGACUGACCGAUAGUGAACCAGUACCGUGAGGGAAAGGCGAAAAGAACCCCGGCGAGGGGAGUGAAAAAGAACCUGAAACCGUGUACGUACAAGCAGUGGGAGCACCUUCGGGUGUGACUGCGUACCUUUUGUAUAAUGGGUCAGCGACUUAUAUUCUGUAGCAAGGUUAACCGUAUAGGGGAGCCGCAGGGAAACCGAGUCUUAACUGGGCGUUAAGUUGCAGGGUAUAGACCCGAAACCCGGUGAUCUAGCCAUGGGCAGGUUGAAGGUUGGGUAACACUAACUGGAGGACCGAACCGACUAAUGUUGAAAAAUUAGCGGAUGACUUGUGGCUGGGGGUGAAAGGCCAAUCAAACCGGGAGAUAGCUGGUUCUCCCCGAAAGCUAUUUAGGUAGCGCCUCGUGAA
rnacentral:rRNA from 1 species